UCAAUAAGCGGAGGAAAAGAAACCAACAGGGAUUGCCCCAGUAACGGCGAGUGAAGCGGCAACAGCUCAAAUUUGAAAUCUGGCCCCAGGCCCGAGUUGUAAUUUGCAGAGGAUGCUUUUGGCGCGGUGCCUUCCGAGUUCCCUGGAACGGGACGCCAUAGAGGGUGAGAGCCCCGUACGGUUGGACACCAAGCCUUUGUAAAGCUCCUUCGACGAGUCGAGUAGUUUGGGAAUGCUGCUCUAAAUGGGAGGUACAUUUCUUCUAAAGCUAAAUAUUGGCCAGAGACCGAUAGCGCACAAGUAGAGUGAUCGAAAGAUGAAAAGCACUUUGAAAAGAGGGUUAAACAGCACGUGAAAUUGUUAAAAGGGAAGCGCUUGUGACCAGACUUGCGUCCGGUGAAUCACCCAGCUCUCGCGGCUGGGGCACUUCGCCGGCACAGGCCAGCAUCAGCUUGCCGUCGGGGACAAAAGCUUCAGGAACGUGGCUCCUCUCGGGGAGUGUUAUAGCCUGUUGCAUAAUACCCUUCGGCGGGCUGAGGUACGCGCUCCGCAAGGAUGCUGGCGUAAUGGUCAUCAGCGACCCGUCUUGAAACACGGACCAAGGAGUCAACCUUAUGUGCGAGUGUUUGGGUGUUAAACCCCUACGCGUAAUGAAAGUGAACGCAGGUGAGAGCUUCGGCGCAUCAUCGACCGAUCCUGAUGUUCUCGGAUGGAUUUGAGUAAGAGCAUAUAGGGUUGGACCCGAAAGAAGGUGAACUAUGCGUGUGUAGGGUGAAGCCAGAGGAAACUCUGGUGGAGGCUCGCAGCGGUUCUGACGUGCAAAUCGAUCGUCAAACAUGCGCAUGGGGGCGAAAGACUAAUCGAACCUUCUAGUAGCUGGUUUCC
rnacentral:rRNA from 1 species